CCAUGCCGCGUGAGUGAAGAAGGCCUUCGGGUGUAAAGCUCUUUUGUCCGGAAAGAAAAGCUUCGGGUUAAUAACCCGGGGUCAUGACGGUACCGGAAGAAUAAGCACCGGCUAACUUCGUGCCAGCAGCCGCGGUAAUACGAAGGGUGCAAGCGUUACUCGGAAUUACUGGGCGUAAAGCGUGCGUAGGUGGUUUGUUAAGUCUGAUGUGAAAGCCCUGGGCUCAACCUGGGAACGGCAUUGGAUACUGGCUUACUAGAGUGCGGUAGAGGGGUGUGGAAUUCCCGGUGUAGCAGUGAAAUGCGUAGAUAUCGGGAGGAACAUCUGUGGCGAAGGCGACACCCUGGACCAGCACUGACACUGAGGCACGAAAGCGUGGGGAGCAAACAGGAUUAGAUACCCUGGUAGUCCACGCCCUAAACGAUGCGAACUGGAUGUUGGGUGCAAUUUGGCACUCAGUAUCGAAGCUAACGCGUUAAGUUCGCCGCCUGGGAAGUACGGUCGCAAGACUG
rnacentral:rRNA from 1 species